rnacentral:misc_RNA from 1 species
UGGCUCUGGCAUCGAUGAAGAACGCAGCGAAAUGCGAUAAGUAAUGUGAAUUGCAGAAUUCAGUGAAUCAUCGAAUCUUUGAACGCACAUUGCACCUUUUGGUAUUCCAGGAGGUAUAUUUGUUUGAGCAUCAUUUAUCUUUCAAGCUUGCUUGGUUUUGGGUUCAUCUUCCCAUGUUCCUGUAACUCAUUCCACUAACUUGAUCAUUCAAGGAAAAGUUGGAAAAACAAACACAAACUUGAUCUCAAAUCAAAUAAGGUUACCCACUGA